rnacentral:tRNA from 1 species
GUUACUUUGACAGAAUAGUGUGUUUGAUUUAGAAUCAUUUAAUGUAGUUUAUUUACAUGUAAUA